UUUCGACCGCGUUAAAGUUAACUCAAAUUUGUAUGGAGUUAGAAGGUUUGCCUGCGUUUGCCGCUAGGGGCGCUGUUGCAACUCCAUACAAAUUUGAUUUAACUUUAACGCUAUCGA
rnacentral:pre_miRNA from 9 species